AAUAUUCCCGCUUGUUCACGAUUUUCCCGAAAAUGAUUUCACUAUGUUUAAAUAUAGGUCACCCAUAUAUGCGGCAUCCCUCCACUGAUCGUCAGUCUAGUAAAGAAAGGUUACGAGCUGCCAACAUUACAACGCUGUGACGCAACUGGCAGUACCUGCAGUCCCGCAGUUAUCAGAGAAGCUAGAAUUACGCAUCCGCACCUAGUUAUUACUGGUCUCUAUGGAAUGAGUGAAAUCGGAUUUCUUAUAAACACCACGUCAGAAACCGAACAAUCUAGUAACAAACGAGGAGUUCUUAUAGGAAAACCUGUCGCAAAAUCACAAGCUAAGGUUGUGGAUGCCAUUACUAAGAGGCUGCUGCCCCCUGGCGUAGUAGGAGAACUGUGCGUUCGUAGUGCGUAUAUAAUGCGCGGCUACAUCAACAACCCUGAGGCGACGGCACGCACCAUUGACAGCGAUGGUUGGCUGCACACGGGAGACCUCGUGCAGUACGAUAACGAUGGCUUCAUUUACUUCAUCGAUAGACUAAAGGAUAUCAUCCGAAUCACCCCUGAUAAAACAACUA